UUUUCUGUGUUAGUUAUAACAUGAUGAACUCAAAGUUUGGCUGCACGGUGGAGCAGUUCUGAGUUUUGCUUUGCAGCUUGAAGGCCUUGGCUUCAAAUCCCAGCCUGGGGCCUUUCUGCAUGUUCUCCCUGUGCAUCCACAGGUUCUCUCUGCAUGGGUACUCCAGCUUCUUCCAGUCCAAAACAUGACUGAGGGGGGUCAUUGUUUGCCAUAUUUACAGCAGAGGAUAUACCACGGAUUUCAUAACUGAAAUGAGGGGAUUAAAACAUUGGCAGCAGAAGUUUCCUGCUCACAGCAAAUCAGCAGCAAUCCAGAUUUAUCAGUUAAUCUAAUUUAUUUUGAUUUUUUCUGAAAUAACAAAAGCUUUUCUCUCUUGAUUUCAAAUGUCUCAUAAAAAUGCUUAAAAGAAAACUGACGAGAAUAAAUAAGUGCAGCCUCUGUAUAAAUUUGACUCAUUUGGGUCCACUGUUCUUGCAGACGUUAGUUUCUCCACAGCUUCCACCACCGUUUCCACCAGGUUGAGAUUUGGGCUUUGACUGGUCCGUUCUGCUGCUGUGGUUUGGAUUCUGGUGAUGCUGUUAGGGCCAGCAGCUGCUGGACAGAUGGUUCCGUAUUUGUUGGGUUUUCUAGUUGUGGGACUCAUAACUAGGAGUUGAUUUCAUGGACUGCAAUUAAACUUGUUAAUGGAAACCCACAGUUUACAAAAUAAGUGUAACAGGUGGAACCACCAGGGGUCGCUGCCUCCACAUCUGAGCGCCCAUAAAAGGGAAGCUGUCRGACUGGUGGCAGAUUGUCAAUCUCCUCUGUGUUGGACCAGGUGUGUUGGCCCACGCCUUCCACUGUUUGUCAUCAGGGCCACACUACAUGUCGUAAUUUGACAAGUGCUUUACCUGGGCGUGUGGUUGAUCGACGCUGCAGACAUUUUAGGAAGCAACAAUCCCUCCCAUUGGUCAUUGCUGAUGUAUUUCCUGAAGCUGCAAACUGAAGUCAGUAACUGGAUGUUUGAUCACAUUCAAACUUCAGGCACAAUUUCCAUUAAAUGAAAGCAGAGACGUGCUGUGAAGACCCAAGAUGGCUGCCAACAACGACAUCUGGAUGACGGCACUUCCUGGGAACGUCGACUCGGAGACCACCGGAAUACCUCGCAUUCCUGCAGGAGUAGCUGCUGUCAGAGCUUUAAGAGCCGAGAGAUCAAGAGGAAGUUCCUUAAGCCAUUUUAAAUGCAUUUCUGGUGCUGACAGGGCGAAUCCAGGCUCUGGCCGCACUUCCAGCAGCAGUAGUGUUGCGGAUGCCACGUCCGUCCGUCUUCCGCCGUGACGAACGACUUGCAGAAGAUGAGCUGAGGACGGAGAAGCAGCGUUGAUUCAAAGGCAGCAGCUGAAAGUGAAGAA